rnacentral:rRNA from 1 species
AGAGUUUGAUCAUGGCUCAGAUUGAACGCUGGCGGUAACUUUUAAACAUGCAAGUCGAGCGGUAACAGACAUAAAGAUUCAGCUUGCUGAAUCCGGUGCUGACGAGCGGCGAACGGGUGAGUAACGCGUAGGAAUCUACCCAGUAGCGGGGGAUAGCCCGAGGAAACUCGGAUUAAUACCGCAUACGCCCUGAGGGGGAAAGGGGGCAGUUUACUGCUCUCACUAUUGGAUGAGCCUGCGUAAGAUUAGCUUGUUGGUAGGGUAAUGGCCUACCAAGGCGACGAUCUUUAGCUGGUCUGAGAGGACGAUCAGCCACAUUGGGACUGAGACACGGCCCAGACAUCUACGGAUGGCAGCAGUUAAGAAUAUUGGACAAUGGGGGCAACCCUGACCCAGGUAUACCGCGUGUGUGAAGAAGGCCCUAGGGUUGUAAAGCACUUUAAUCAGAGAAGAAGCAUUUUAAAUUAAUACCUUAAAAUGUUGACGUUACCUGAAGAAUAAGGACCGGCUAACUCCGUGCCAGCAGCCGCGGUAAUACGGAGGGUCCAAGCGUUAAUCGGAAUUACUGGGCGUAAAGCGCGCGUAGGCGGUUUAGCAAGUUGUAUGUGAAAGCCCUGGGCUCAACCUAGGAACUGCAUCCAAAACUACUAAGCUAGAGUACGAGAGAGGAGAGUAGAAUUUCUGGUGUAGCGGUGAAAUGCGUAGAUAUCAGAAGGAAUACCAAUGGCGAAGGCAGCUCUCUGGCUCGUCACUGACGCUGAGGUGCGAAAGCGUGGGUAGCAAACAGGAUUAG